ACUCCUACGGGAGGCAGCAGUAGGGAAUCUUCCACAAUGGGCGCAAGCCUGAUGGAGCAACACCGCGUGAGUGAAGAAGGGUUUCGGCUCGUAAAGCUCUGUUGUUAAAGAAGAACACGUAUGAGAGUAACUGUUCAUACGUUGACGGUAUUUAACCAGAAAGUCACGGCUAACUACGUGCCAGCAGCCGCGGUAAUACGUAGGUGGCAAGCGUUAUCCGGAUUUAUUGGGCGUAAAGAGAGUGCAGGCGGUUUUCUAAGUCUGAUGUGAAAGCCUUCGGCUUAGCCGGAGAAGUGCAUCGGAAACUGGAUAACUUGAGUGCAGAAGAGGGUAGUGGAACUCCAUGUGUAGCGGUGGAAUGCGUAGAUAUAUGGAAGAACACCAGUGGCGAAGGCGGCUACCUGGUCUGCAACUGACGCUGAGACUCGAAAGCAUGGGUAGCGAACAGGAUUAGAUACCCUGGUAGGAUAGCG
rnacentral:rRNA from 1 species